rnacentral:lncRNA from 1 species
ACGGAUUCAAAAUUCAGUUGUGUUUGUGCAUGUAUGUAUCUGUACUAUCUACCUACAUAUCUAUCUAGUCUACCAAUCUAUCAUCUAUAUAUCUUCAUUCUGUUCACAAUUUGAUCCUUUUCUUUUUUUUUUUCUUUUUUUUUUUUUUUCAGAUUACUUGUGAAAUAAUUUGGCUAAUUCUUGUCUUGGAUAAUUUUGUAUACGCUUGAUGACCAAAGAUGACAAGCAGUGCAGUGGUUGGCUUCCACUGGAUGGGAACUUUCCCAGAGGUACUACACGUUAGAUCCACCCGAGAACUGCCAUCUCAUACAUGGAAAAAAUAUUAGAUGUAGUCCCAUUCCUGGACAAAUCAAAA